AGCGAACGCUGGCGGCAGGCCUAACACAUGCAAGUCGAACGAACUCUUCGGAGUUAGUGGCGGACGGGUGAGUAACACGUGGGAACGUGCCUUUUGGUUCGGAAUAACUCAGGGAAACUUGUGCUAAUACCGAAUGUGCCCUUCGGGGGAAAGAUUUAUCGCCAUUAGAGCGGCCCGCGUCUGAUUAGCUAGUUGGUGAGGUAACGGCUCACCAAGGCGACGAUCAGUAGCUGGUCUGAGAGAAUGACCAGCCACACUGGGACUGAGACACGGCCCAGACUCCUACGGGAGGCAGCAGUGGGGAAUCUUGCGCAAUGGGCGAAAGCCUGACGCAGCCAUGCCGCGUGAAUGAUGAAGGUCUUAGGAUUGUAAAAUUCUUUCACCGGGGACGAUAAUGACGGUACCCGGAGAAGAAGCCCCGGCUAACUUCGUG
rnacentral:rRNA from 1 species